ACUUUCAACAACGGAUCUCUUGGUUCGGGCAUCGAUGAAGAACGCAGCAAAAUGCGAUAAGUAAUGUGAAUUGCAGAAUUCAGUGAAUCAUGGAAUCUUUGAACGCACAUUGCGCCCGCCAGUAUUCUGGCGGGCAUGCCUGUUCGAGCGUCAUUUCAACCCUCAAGCUCAGCUUGGUGUUGGGACUCGCGGUAACCCGCGUUCCCCA
rnacentral:rRNA from 1 species